rnacentral:lncRNA from 1 species
UCUGCUCGAAAGUGUCCAGCUGCCCAUUCCCUCUAAAGUGACGUCUGUAUCACUUCUGCUCGAAAGUGUCCAGCUGCCCAUUCCCUCUGAAGUGACGUCUGUAUCACUCCUGCUCGAAAGUGUCCAGCUGCCCAUUCCCUCUGAAGUGACGUCUGUAUCACUUCUGCUCGAAAGUGUCCAGCUGCCCGUUCCCUCUAAAGUGACGUCUGUAUCACUUCUGCUCGAAAGUGUCCAGCUGCCCGUUCCCUCUGAAAUGACAUCUGUAUCACUUCUGCUCGAAAGUGUCCAGCUGCCCGUUCCCUCUGAAAUGACGUCUGUAUCACUCCUGCUCGAAAGCAUCCAGCUGCCCAUUCCCUCUGAAAUGACAUCUCCAUCACUCCUGCUUGAAAGCUCUCUCUGACACCUUCAAGGAGGCACAAUAAAGUGAUGGUCGCCCCAUUGCGUAUAGAGGAAAUGGAGGAAAACUUGGAAGUACCGCCUUCCAUACAAAGUCAAGGAUCGAGACCUUCCUCUCCGCGUUCCAGAAUCCCUCAGGAAAUACGCGCGUGCCUUCGCAUCUAGAGCAAGCGCUGCAAGAAUUCACAGAACGGCCAGAAGUUCCCCAUCCCGCUGGUGGCACUCACUGCGUUAGGCGCUCAGCCUCCAGUCCGGGCCGCUUUGGCUUGAAGACGGCCGUUUUCCUUCCUGAUACCUGCUUCUAGUCUUUCUGCAACUUCUGGAUUCCUGUCAUUCUUAUACCUGCUCUGGGCAGCCUUCCAUUCAUUCUGCGAAUUCCGUGAAGCUUUUCAAUAAAUUGCUUUUCUCCAAUUAGCCUAAAUCUCUUUCAGUUAUUGGCAGCCCAGUGCCCUGACCCAGCCAAGCACUGUAGACAGU